rnacentral:rRNA from 1 species
CCUACGGGAGGCAGCAGUGAGGAAUAUUGGUCAAUGGACGCGAGUCUGAACCAGCCAUGCCGCGUGCAGGAUGACGGCCCUAUGGGUUGUAAACUUCUUUUGUACGAGGGUAAACCCCGAUACGUGUACCUUGUUGCAUGUACCUUACGAAUAAGGAUCGGCUAACUCCGUGCCAGCAGCCGCGGUAAUCCGGAGGAUCCGGGCGUUAUCCGGAUUUAUUGGGUUUAAAGGGUGCGUAGGCGGGUUGUUAAGUCAGUGGUGAAAGCUCGGGGCUCAACCCCGGAACUGCAUUUGAUACUGGUAGGCUGGAGUACAGUUGCGGUAGGCGGAAUUCGUGGUGUAGCGGUGAAAUGCUGAGAUAUCAGGCAGAACACCGAUUGCGAAGGCAGCUUACCAAACUGUAACUGACGUUGAGGCACGAAAGCGUGGGUAGCAAACAGGAUUAGAUACCCGUGUAGUC